rnacentral:rRNA from 1 species
UACGGGGGGGGGCAAGCGUUUGUUCGGAAUUACUGGGCGUAAAGGGCUCGUAGGCGGCCAACUAAGUCAGACGUGAAAUCCCUCGGCUUAACCGGGGGAACUGCGUCUGAUACUGGAUGGCUUGAAUUCGGGAGAGGGAUGCGGAAUUCCCGGUGUAGAGGUGAAAUUCGUAGAUAUCGGGAGGAACACCAGUGGCGAAGGCGGCGAUCUGGGUCGAUACUGACGCUGAGGUGCGAAAAGCGUGGGGGAGCGAACGGG